rnacentral:tRNA from 1 species
CAGAGUGAAGCUAAAUAGUUCAGCAUCUCAUUUACACCGUGAAGAAGCCUGUGCAAAUCGGGCCACCCUGA